GUAUGGUGACUGCAGAGCCUGUGAAUUAAACUAAAAAAAUGACAGAUUAAGAAGAGAAAAGGUGCCCAUUCAGUUAAUCAACAAAUAUGAACUCUACUUUGAAGACCUACCUGGAGUCUAACCACUUUCUACAGACCUCCAGUGCUGUGACCCUCACCCAGCUAUUAUCAUGCCUUACCUACAAUAGUCUCCUUACUAGCCUCCUUGAUUUCAUUCUUGUCCUGUAGAAAUUUUGCUUCACAAAAUAUCCAAUAAAGUAAAAUCAUGUCA